CAGCAGCCGCGGUAAUACAGAGGGGGCAAGCGUUGUCCGGACUUACUGGGCGUACAGCGCGCGCAGGCGGACCGCGACGUGCCGUGUGACAGCCCACCGCUUACCGGUGGAAGGCCACGGUACACGAGCGGUCUGGAGGCAGGGAGAGGGAUGUGGAAUGCCCGGUGGAGCGGUGAAAUGCGUAGAGAUCGGGCGGAACACCAGCGGCGAAGGCGGCAUCCUGGUCCUGUUCUGACGCUGAGGCGCGAGAGCGUGGGGAGCGAACUGG
rnacentral:rRNA from 1 species